UCCGUAGGGGGCAAGCGUUGUCCGGAAUCAUUGGGCGUAAAGCGCGUGUAGGCGGCUCGGUAAGUCUGCUGUGAAAGUCCAGGGCCCAACCCUGGGAUGCCGGUGGAUACUGUCGAGCUCGAGUCCGGAAGAGGCGAGUGGAAUUCCUGGUGUAGCGGUGAAAUGCGCAGAUAUCAGGAGGAACACCAAUGGCGAAGGCAGCUCGCUGGGACGUGACUGACGCUGAGACGCGAAAGCGUGGGGAGCAAACAGG
rnacentral:rRNA from 1 species